GAAAAAAGUGAUUUAUAUACCAUCAAUUCCCACACCCUCCUCCAGGGGAGAAUGAGAAGAAAAAUGGUAAAAUAUGGACGUGAAACCUUUGUUAAAAAACAACAAAAACAUAAAAGAAUCUCAAAGCAAUGCAGAGAGAAUUGGAAGCCAAUAAUUAAAAAGAAGAGAUUAUUAUCCACCACCAAGAAUUCAGUGUCAGGACCUCAGUGGCUCAUAUAAUUAACAGCACAGGGUGACUUUUUCCAUUUCUUAUUUUUAGUAAUAAGAAAUUUAGGUUUUAGAACAGUUAUUUACCACAGUUUUUCAGAAUUAGUUAUUUCUUGAUAAUAUGCUUUAAAGUCAUACUGACAUCAAGAGAACAUGAGAACAUUAUCCUUGUGUACACUGUAAACCACUGGCACUAGCUCUUAUUUUUAAAAUGCCCACAGUAUAUACCUAUGAAACAAAACACUGGUUUUUCACAUUCCAAAAUUUGUAGAUAAUUUUUAAAGAUAAAAUAUAGCUGAAACAGAUAUUUAAUACCGACUGGCUACUCAUUAAGCUCUUAACUAGCACACAAUAAUUUUUUUGAGAAUAGGACUUGUUGCCACAUAUACUCAUUUUGUGGGAUUUUUUUGUUGUUUUUUUAACUUUUUCUUUUUUUGUUUUUUUUGAGAUGGAGUCUCGCUCUGCCACCCAGGCUGGACUGCAGUGGUGCAAUCUCGGCUCACUGCAACCUCCACCUCCGGGUUCAAGUGAUUCUCCUGCCUCAGCCUCCCUAGUAGCUGGGACUACAGGCAUGCACCACCACACCCAGCUAAUUUUUGUAUUUUUAGUAGACGGGGGUUUCACCAUAUUGCCCAGGCUGGUCUCAAACUCCUGACCUUGUGAUCCACCUGCCUCAGCCUCCCAAAGUGCUAGGAUUAUAGGCAUGAGCCACCGCGCCUAGCCUACUUUUGUUUUUAUACACAUAUACUCAUUUUCAAAUGUCACUUAUUAAACUUUAAGAACAACUGAAAAUACGUAGGAACAAAAGUAUACAACUUUGAAUAUGUAAAUUUUUUAAAAUCAAGAGAUUGACAACAUUUUCAACUCAACUAUUAUCUAAAAACAUACUUGUGAGGCUAUGGAAACAAAGCACUCCAUAUAGAGAAAGAACUGUUAGCCAAAGUAUCAUUCUAAAUCUUGCUAGACUAUGCUUUUACUAAGAGAUUUUGUUUUAAGUAAGUUUUUGUUCCUGUUAAAUCUGCAAAUUCUUGCAAAACUCUGUCAAGGAAGCAACACAUCAAAUACCCUAACUAUAUACAAAUGCAAGACUACCAGCCUUUUGGUGGGGAAGGGCAUGGAGGAACAAGAUGUAUUCUAAAACCCAACUGUGCAUCCCUCACUUUCUCAAGAAACCUUGCCACCCACAGCCUAUCUCAUGUACUAUUGAAAUGCAGAAAAACCACUACUUGGGAGACUACCAUGGUGCACAGCAAGUGCACAGUAACUGUUCCGUCAAUUUUUAACUCAUAAAAAGCUAAAGUUCAAAAUAUUGAUCUCAUGUACACAAACUCAACUACUAUUAAACAGAGACAUAGCACAUAA